rnacentral:rRNA from 1 species
AGAACGAACGCUGGCGGCAGGCUUAACACAUGCAAGUCGAACGCUCCGCAAGGGGAGUGGCAGACGGGUGAGUAACGCGUGGGAACAUACCCCUCGGUUCGGAAUAACUCAGGGAAACUUGAGCUAAUACCGAAUACGGUCGAGAGGCGAAAGAUUUAUCGCCGAGGGAUUGGCCCGCGUCCGAUUAGCUAGUUGGUGAGGUAAUGGCUCACCAAGGCGACGAUCGGUAGCUGGUCUGAGAGGAUGAUCAGCCACAUUGGGACUGAGACACGGCCCAAACUCCUACGGGAGGCAGCAGUGGGGAAUAUUGGACAAUGGGCGAAAGCCUGAUCCAGCCAUGCCGCGUGAGUGAUGACGGCCUUAGGGUUGUAAAGCUCUUUCAUCAGGGACGAUAAUGACGGUACCUGAAGAAGAAGCCCGGCUAACUUCGUGCCAGCAGCCGC